CAACAAUUGAUACUAACUGAGCUAUCUAUAGCCUAGUCUUGUGACAGAGGCUUGUGGUAUGUUGUGCUAGCUGGGUUGAAAAAGUGAACAAUUAAAUCAAAAGCCAUAAGUCUUUUAAGUCCAGUGUGUAAAGACACAUUUUGGUUAUAACUCAGAGGCACAACU
rnacentral:snoRNA from 1 species